CCACUUCAGAUAUUAACCUGGACAUCAUGCCUUCCAAACAUUAAAUGAGCUGAGCGAUGUUUUAUUACAUUUCUCAUGUGGCUAAGCUUAGUGCAGCUUUUAAGUGUUCCUUGGUAUGCCGUGCUUACGCAAGUUAUUUUCUGCUGUGGAUUGUUGAUGCUGCAGCAGCAGAUAGAAUGAUGUGCCUUGAAUUCCAAUGAGGAGAAGGGGGGGCUUUUUGAAUAAAGAGCAGUCUCAGGAGAAAGCUGCUCGGGAAUCCUUAGAAUGAAUCGCAGCCUCAGGGAUGCAACCCUUUGGAAUGCCUCUCUGUUAUCUGUUUACUCUGAACAGCCAGGAAUGGAAGGGGAGGAGUAACACAGCAGUGGUUGUCCUUGUGACUGCAAGUUCUAGCGAUGCUUUGUUUUGAAAGAUUAUUUGGAAAAGAGUGAGGAUGACAU